rnacentral:rRNA from 1 species
UACAGAGGGGGCAAGCGUUGUUCGGAAUUACUGGGCGUAAAGGGCGCGUAGGCGGCCUGUUAAGUCGAACGUGAAAUCCCCGGGCUCAACCCGGGAACUGCGUCCGAUACUGGCAGGCUUGAAUCCGGGAGAGGGAUGCGGAAUUCCAGGUGUAGCGGUGAAAUGCGUAGAGAUCCGGAAGAACACCGGUGGCGAAGGCGGUCUGCUGGGCAGUUGCUGACACUGAGGCGCGACAGCGUGGGGAGCAAACAGG